GCUGCCUGCUGAUCCAUCAGUAUCACUUGACAAGUACGCAAGUAAACCUUUAACAAUGUUCUACAAACUGUUCGCCCUCUUCGCUAUGUUGGCGGUGGCUUUCGCCAACCCCAACCCGAAGGCAGACCCCGCUCUGGCAUAUGCGGCUCCAGCGGUCCUGCCCGUCGGCUACUCAGCCUACUCUCCCCUGGCUUACAGCGCACCUUACGCUGCCGCACUACCAUACGCCUACAACUACUAUGUCCGUUAACUCGACUACAGACCCAAGCUAACCAUGAUCCGAUUUGCCUUACGUUUUAAAUAAAUUUGUACAGCAUC